CCGGCGCGAAAAAGUAUCACUUAUUUUGAUGAUACAACAGUAAAGGCUCUCUCAAAGCUACUCUCAUCUCCUCAGUCCCACUACCCUCCCAAUUCUCAUUAGGCAAAUGAGUUCUUCUUCUUCUUCCAUAAAUUUCAGUAGUAAAUGGGGGACAAUGGAGAAAUAAUCAUCCUGAGUGAUGAUGAUGAUGAUGAUGACCAUGACAUAUCAUGCAGUGAUGCUUCAGUUCUCAUUGUGGAGAUGGAGGACGUGAAGAAGAAGAGUGAUGUUGUGUUAUCCCAAAGUUCUCUAGAUGAAGACCUGGUUGUUACCUUCUCCCGUCGUGCUGAGGUGCUACCUCACGCACGCUAUGACUGUUCCAUACAUCCUUUUACGGCAACAGAGUGUGAGGUUGGUUCUCCUGUGGCCAGUAACCAGCUCAUUUGUGAUCAGUGCUUCUGCUACAUCUGUGAUAAGCUGGCGUCAGCGUGUCUAAUGUGGAGUCAAAGCGGUGUGUGUCACUGUAACAGCCACAAGAGGAGUGAUUUCUGGAACAAUCACAGAAGCAGCUCACUGCUGGGAGGACUGAAGAGUUUUAACCUCACUCUCUCUGAAAUAGAUGCCCAUCUCCGACAUGCAGAGGUGAUGCUGCAGAGCUUCAAACAAGAGCUUAAUGCAAAGUUCUCAACCUUCCUGAGCGGAAACGCGUUACAAGAAUAUGGUCUGAACCUACCAAACCAGCAAUGCCUCAUCUUUGAUUACACAAAUGUUUACGAGUUUGUGUCAUCGUUUCUGAACAAAGCCGACAACCAGGACGGCAGAGCGGCCGCCAUCAUGAGACUGGGAGCUGCUGAAGACUUUAUCAGACAUUUUCAGCGCACAGGAGGUAUCAACAUACAGUCUGCCAUGGCCAAUGCUAAUGAGGCUAAGCGGGCUUUACUGCAAAGGGUUGUAGCAUCACUGCAGAGACAGAUGGUGAUGGCGGAUUUCACAUCAGAGUUCAUCCACAAACUGCAAGACUUUUACAAGAGAUUAUUUUUCCCAGCUGAGCUGAGGAGCUUGAAGAACUGCCUGUGUGUUCGUCCCUGGGACGAUGUCCUGCUGGUGUCUGUGCUGAAGGGACAGAACGUGUCGGGCUUCCGUAAAGACAAAGGCAAGAAGGACGUCCUGAUUGAACAGGUGUCCAUAAUUCGACUGAGGACAGAGCUACUGCAGCGACAGCACAGGUACAGAGAGUUGUGUCGCUACCUACGAGUCGUCCAGACUGAUGAUUCCAAGCUCUUCCAGCCUGUUCGAGACCUCAUCCCUUUCUUCACAUGCAUGGAUGGAAACUUUACGUUGGCUUGCAGCAGUUUGUUCCCUUUAGUCAAUGCCCCGGCCUCCCGUUUUUCUCCGCUCAUCUUCCAUUUUUAUCUACGUGUCUUUGAAACGGCGACAGCACCAAAGUUGAUUGUCAUUCAGCCAGCAGAGCUCUUCUGUUCUAAUGCAACAUGGGAGCCAAUUAAAGAUGUUGUUCCGCUGAAUCGUGCUGAGCUGGUGAGGUUUGCACUCAGGGUUCAGAUUUGCUGCCCUCCAAUCUUCACUGAUUCUCUUUGUUGGACCAGUUUACUCAGAAUUGUCAACGCACCUGGUGGUCCAUCUUUAUUGAGCGCUCUGCCAGCUCCACCCCCACAGUUUCUACUGGAUGCAAAAGAUGUCACAAAUUCAAUACUGCACAGCACACACAUACAGAUCCCUCGGCUCUUCCAGGAGGUGUACCCAGAACAGGCCUUGUUACUGUUGGUAACGAGGGCUUUAGCUUUGAGAAUCAUCCACGCUCCUCUGACUCCAGCUCUACCUGUGCUAGGCACUUUUAAGGAGAACGUGUGGGCUCUGUGGUGGCUGUGGGACAGCUUGUCCUUCAACAAAGAGAGACUCAAUGCCUUCUUAGAGGAUGUUACACAGGAGAUGGAGAACACUGCAGAUGGGGAUAAUUCAUUAGUGUCUCUUCACGCUCUCAUGCCCACUCUGUCUUCUUCAGCAGAGAACUGGGAUCAGUGAGUUACAUAUUUAUAACUUGCUGCAACAAAAGGAUAAAAACUGUCUGAGCUGGUAAACGACACCAGCAGAUUUAUAUUUAUUUAGAAACGGUAGUAUGAGGCUGUGGAUCUGAUCUCUAUUACCUUGUUUUUUUUGUUUUUUUUUCAUGUCCUCUCCUGAUGUGGUGGUGAUCAGCACCUACUGCAGUCCAGCAGCUGUUAAUCUCUAUGCGCCCCAACUCAAUGGCCAUUCGCAAUGUCAACUCUCAUCCUGAUUGGACUGUGACGUGAAGCGCGGCGUCGCCUCUUCAUCACAGGCUGGAUUAUGGAGUCAUCGGUGUCGCAUAGAUGUCAGAAUAAACCUGCACAGACAGUGGUGUCAGAGUGACGGAGGGUUAACAGCCCCACUGUCAUUCAGUAUGUAUGUCACCAGCACAGAGACGCUGCUAUGUUUACUUUAUUAUUUUACGGCUUGACCUGAGUUUCGUUUCGUACUGUGGGAUUUUUUUUUGUGGGUUUUUUCAGCUCAGCUCUGUUAAUUCAUCCCUGCAUAUAUUUAAUACUUGGUUAAGACAAUUAUGUGAAAAUAGAAUAAAUUGUGAAAAAAAAAAAUGCUGACAGCUUUAUGAGCCACUUUGAGUAAGUAAAUAAUUUUUCUUUGUUGUUCCUGAAUUAUUGCUUCGUGUAGAAUUCCAGUGUAAAAUAUGAUGAUAUGUUUUCAGAGUGGAUGCAGUAUCUGCUCUAAUAUUCAGUUCCAUAUUUGGAAGGAGGCUGCUGCAGUUAAACCUGUUUGUGACUGUGGUCGAAGUUAGGCGGGUCUGACUACAGAGAGUAAAAGCUCCGCCCCGUUUAUAUUGCUGCCCAUUUGUAGUCGCACGCUCUCUCUUGUAGUUUGUAUAACUGUGACCUGAAAAUAUUUUUUCCCUGGUCACACAACUCGUCAUGCAGCAGUCUGAAUCAGAACAUGGUUUUGGCAGAAUUUCUGUAAGAAUUUAUGUCUCAUGCUGUGUUCACAUCAGACGGGACGCAAAUUUGUCCUGCGACAAGUUUACACACAUCAAGCCCAGGCCAAGUGACACGAUAUCACGUCACAUCUGUCCCUGAAUUUGUUCAACUUUGGUGAAGAACCACGCUCAUGCGCUGGCCAAUCAGCAUAGAGAUUCUCUGCAUAGCGUCACGUUCUUGCCAGACUCCACUCAUUACCACGUAUAAUUUUUGAGUGCAUAUAGCAGCAUGUGUCAUAGAGCUCCAUCUCUGCCGUCUUGUGAGGUUUCUUAACACUCUACGGAGCUCCCGAAGUAAACGGCGAAACUCGCCAAAGUUGUCUGACCAAUGAUGGCGUUGUGAAACCACACAAGAUGGCGGUUUAUUCUUGUUGGGGAAGCCCAUCGCUAAGCUGGAUGUAUUCUUAAAGGAAUACUUCACCGAUUUGCAUUUAGCUUUGUAUUACUAGAAUAGGGGUAGUAUUUUUGAAAAAUUGUUCUUCCUAACCUUAGUUUCCCCCGAGUUCAGAAAUAUCCCCAUUGAUGGUUCAUAGUUUGUCUCUACGUGAUAGACUGGCGACCUGUCCACGGUGUACUCCGCCUUUCCCUCCAUGACCAUCACCUGAGUGUAUCACAGCAGUAGAGAUGGAGCUAUUUUUACAAUUACUGUCAGGGAAUGUCACCUAUGAUGUCACUUUUUGAAAUGGGGCCAUAUGGUUGGUGUUCUGGUUAGCAUGCCUACUCUUGCAGCAAGAGGACCUGGGUUUGCAUCCUCGUCAGAAAACGACAGUUGUGUAUCCACAAACACAACUGUUGUAAAUUUUGUCCACAGGUGGAGGACAAAGAUGAGUGACUAAACGUGUAGGAACAUUCAUUCAUUCAUCUACUGAUGACAAUAGCAGCUGACUUAGAGCAAGUUUUACACACACACACACACACACUCACUCCUUGUUCCAACCAGGCUGCAAACCCUGGUCCUCUUGCUGCAAAGGCAAGAGUGCAAACCACUACACCAACCACAGCACCGGUGUAAUUGCACUUAGUUAUUUUCCACCACUGGAACAAAUCCAUACCAUCAAAUCUGCCACCUAUUAACUCAGGUUCCUGUUCUUCACGGGCCUAAAGCCUCAGCGGUAUCAUCCUCAAUAAUGUCAAGUAAUUUCCUCGAUUAAAGCAAAUACUUUGCAC